rnacentral:lncRNA from 1 species
CAACAAAUACGAAACAACAUUAUAGACCCCUAAGACGACAUAGGUGAAAUUACUAAUAAAGACUCUAAUACCAAAAACAACUUGAAUUUGACUUAAAGCAGACACCACCCUACAAUGACAGACAUAUAAAAGACUCAAACUGAAUAAAGGUAAGAAGUGUUCUUUCAGACUGGUGCUCUGCGUGAUGACCCUGGCUGAUAUGGACCUGCCUCUGAAGUUCUCUUUCUCCCAUUUAAGCUUUGUAGCAUAUCCUGUAAAGACACCCUGAUACCGGGGAAGAAGCUUCGGGCCCGUAUUCCUGCUUCAUGAGGAGUGCACUUGGAAAGAUUAUUCUGACACCUUUCUACCGUCUUGAACAAAUCUACUAAAUGAACUCUCAGUGUUUCCACUU